AUACGGGGGAUUCAAGCGUUAUCCGGACUUAUUGGGUUUAAAGGGUGCGUAGGCUGAUAAAUCAGUCAGCGGUGAAAUUUACGGGCUUAACUUGUAGCUUGCCGUUGAAACUAUUUAUCUAGAGAUAUUUCGGCGUAUGCGGAAUGUAUCAAGUAGCGGUGAAAUGCAUAGAUAUGCUACAGAACACGAAUCGCGAAGGCAGCAUACGAGGCAUCAUCUGACGCUGAUGCACGAAAGCGUGGGGAGCAAACAGGAUUAGAUACCCUGGUAGUCCACGCUGUAAACGAUGAAUACUAGGUGUGGGGGGACUGACCCCCUCCGUGCCGCAGUUAACACAAUAAGUAUUCCACCUGGGGAGUACGAUCGCAAGAUUGAAACUCAAAGGAAUUGACGGGG
rnacentral:rRNA from 1 species